ACUCACUAGGGUAUAAAGAAUCCAUAUAAAGUGUCAAUUCAUGGGGAAACUACAGGGUAUUGGCCUCAUAGACAUCUUAUUUAAAGGCUAGACGUCUCAUGGCGCAGUCACUUCCGGCAUCACCGGUGGCCAUCUUGUCACAGGCAGGCUUCCUGUCGGGCUCUGUGGUACCUAAUAUAAGGUGAGUGAUCAGCACUAACACAAAUACUCUUAUCUCGCUGAAACCUUGAUGGAUUUACAAACAGUUUGGUUUCUUACAAACGUUAUUAACGUGGCUAUAAUUCUGAAUGCUUGAAAAUUUUGAAAUUGCAGCUUUUCUUUUCUAAAAACGUCUAAAACGUGCAGCAUAGUUGGGUCACGGCUACUUGCGCAAGUUAACAAGGCAGAUAUCACAAACGAGCUGUUUGAUUAUAGAGGUUUUACUGACACCAAUAACGAUUUUAUGACAACUAAUCUUUUGUCUAAAUUACAAUAUUUGUGGAUGUGGUUGUAGUUAUUUGCUGGCUAAUAACAAUAAGCUUUGAGUGAGACCUAUGGCAGCUAACGUUACAGUUUAGCUGCUAACCAGCAAAUUUGCACAUGCUUUUCAAUCCGGUUGGUUCCUGUGUUGCUUGAAGGACAGCAAUAUGUCCUGACCUACAGGUUCAGCCAGAACCACUUGGAGCUUCUCUUCAACUCCAUCAGAGUAUCUGGUAGGGUUCAUAAUUUAUAUUUACCAGCCGCAACACUAAGUGACUUGUAUUGUUUUCAGUCCAUAUGUUUUUUUACUUUUAGUAACAUGUGUUUUCUGCAGACACACCUUAACCCUAAGACACCCACAAUACCUGGAAGUGUCACAAACCAUUUUGAGUAUUUAGAAAAAUGCCUGUGUUUGACUAUUUGUUUGCAGAACUUAUCAUCACUGAUACAGUCUGAAUUGUAUGAUAAUGUCAUUCAACCUAUUUUAUGUGGAAAGAUCAUUCAGGGGUGGCUAGUUCUAAUUAAAAAUGUUUUAAACAUAAAACAUUUUAAAGCAUGUAUUGAAUAUCUGUGUACUAUUCUUGUAUAUCUUUUUUUUUCCUUAAACGAAUAACAACCCUAAUGCCAGCCAGUUCAAGUACAUCUUUAGGAUGUAAAGCUGAUGGCCCAGUGUGGGGUUGUUAAACCAUGCAAAGGCAAUGUGACGGCACAGGAUGACACAGAGUCCCUACCAGCUGUCAUCGACACCUCUACAAGCCUGUCAGCUGUAGAUGUGUCCUCUGCAGCAGGAGGAGAAGAUCUUCCAUCCCCGUUUGCUGACAUUCCUGCCCUAGUACAUGAUCACAGCUACCUUCCCGUCCACUUCGAUGGUCUUGUGGACAACGCUCUCAUGUACAUUUCAGGAUUUGUUGUGCGACAGGUUUUGAAGAAGCUUUCGUGUGAUGUCUGCCGUGCCAGCCUGGUGACAUGCUGCAUCUGCCAUCAAGGACCAGAGCUACCACCUGCUGAAUUUAAAAAACAAUGGAGGUCUGGUGAUUCCAUCAGAGGGAACCGUGAGUGUCGUCAGGGCAGCAGAUUGGGUCAUUCGGCAGUCAUCAGGCAGUACCAGACGAUCACAGCCCAUCAAACUGCUUGAGGUUGUUUACAUUGUCUGAAAAAGGAUCGGUUCAGAGGAUGUUUGUGUUGGGAUAGACAGUAUGGGAUAGACAUCCACCACCAUAGGCUGUUAAAAAUAAUUCUGUCCCUGUUUUUUAAGGUAAAGCUGCACCACAUCGCCAGAAUUACAAUCCUCAGCUUACAGAGCAACAACAUGCAACAGAAACUUAAUAAAACUGUCCUUUUCAAAGGGCAUUAGCCCAAGGUAUGUGUUUUCAAGGUACUGUCCUCUUUUACUUCAACAGUAGUGUAGUGCUCUCUACAGCAUUUAUUUAUUUGUAUAUAUAAAUGAUUUAUUUAUAUUUGUAAAGGGGAAUCAUGUACC
ensembl:lncRNA